UCCCUACAUGAUGAUCAGAGCAUCAAUAUCACUUUAUGGUUUCUGAAUGAAAUUGGAUAUUAAAAAAGGGUCUUUCUUUGUGGAUAGGUAAAGAAGACAUUUUCUGUGCAUGAACCAUUAAAAAUGUAUUAUCUAAUAAAGAAUUGGUCUUUGGUUUCAUUUUGUUAUUAAAGAGGGACCAUAUGGAGUCUUUGCCGGAAGAGAUGCAUCCAGGGGCCUUGCCACAUUUUGCCUGGAUAAGGAAGCACUGAAGGAUGAGUAUGAUGAUCUCUCUGACCUCACACCUUCCCAGCAGGAGAGUCUGAAUGACUGGGACUCUCAGUUCACUUUCAAGUAUCAUCAUGUGGGCAAGCUGCUGAAAGAAGGGGAGGAACCCACUGUGUACUCAGAUGAGGAUGAAACAAAAGAUGAGAAUGCUCGGAAAAAUGAUUAAAGCACCCAGUGGAAGCAUAUCUAUUUUUGUAUUUUUCAGAACCAUUUGUAACAUUCCAGUCUGUCUUUAAAACAUGGUGAUUUCAAUAUUUAGGAAAGUUUGAACUUGCUGUAAAUUUUUUAGUUAACAUCACUAGUGACACUGAUAAAAUUAACUUCUUAGACUGCAUGAGAUGUUUAUAUGUCACAAAUCUAGAAAGUGAACUGCAGUGCUAUAAUGCAAAUGUUAAUACUGUUUUUCUUCUAUAUGUAGUUACUACAAGCUGAAUUUAAAUUUUUUUUUCAGAGUGACAGAUAAGACUUGGUUAUUUCCACAGACAGGUAAAAAUGUUAAAUGUGCACCAAGAACAAAGGAUCAACUUGCAGUCAUGAUAUUUUCUAAAUAAAUCCUUUUUAUUCAAUUGACUUAACUGCAUGAUUGAUCUACCUCUAAAGCAAAUCUGCAGUAUUCCAAAGCCUUUGGUAUAAAGACAGCCGUCUAGUAACAAAAGGAAAUCUCAAUGCUGGGCUCAAUUAGGAGAAAUAUUUACUAUGUUUCUGGACCACUUUGUGGUACUGAUCCUCCUAUAGCCAUACAAACAGCAAUAUACAGUUAGGAUUAAAACAAGAUCUGAACAUUUACAAGACAGCCUUGAAAAAAAAUCCCUAAAUACAUGAAGAAGAUUGUAGGACUGGUUUCCCAAUCUCCAUGUUCUUAGCAGGGUAGUGGUUAUUUGACAACAUGUUAAGUGCAAGAGGGGCAUACAGAACAGGAUCAGGUUUGUGCUUUCCUGAGAGCCUAUGUUCACACCCCUGAAGAAUGAGGAAAGAGUACAUGUCACUAACCAAGUGAUUUUUUAAAUAUAUUCAUAAGGUAACAGUUUCCUUCUGUCAUUGUAAAACUAGCCACUUCUAAAGUAGUAACCAAGUGUCUAGGUCUUGGAUAGUACUCUUGGUUAACACUAAACCUAGCUUAAGUAGACUCUACAGUUGUAUGACUUUGUAAAAAUAUUAAAUGAACAAGUGAGGUUGUAAUUGUAGUUAAAUAGUCAUUGUAUUUUCUUGUGAGAUGUGUUUAAUGGUUUUACCUCAAAUCAGAAAAGAAAAUGAAGUGCUUUGGUGAGUUAAUAAAAUGAUUUUACCCA
rnacentral:lncRNA from 1 species